UACGAGUAUGGUGAAUCAUCGAAUCUUUGAACGCACCUUGCACCGACGGAGUCUAUCCGGCGGUAUACCUGCCUGAGCAUCAUUUACCUUAUCUAGCACUUUGUGGUUGUAUGAAUAUAACCAUGUGGUGAUAGGACUUGGGCCUCAACUGCCCUGGUGGUUGUAGCCUCGAAUGCAUGGGACGGCUGGUGGCAGCUCAGUGAGGAUGUUUGCUUCGGCAAAAUAAUCAUGCGGCGCCCCUGCAGUCUUACUGGUGGCACCAGCAGUAGGGUGGCGGUGGCGGUGGUGGUGAUUGGCAACAAUGACUAUGACUGCUAUUCUACUUUACUGGUGGUGGCUAAAGCACCAAGCUGGCUUUUUUGCUGGCAACUGCUACGCAGUUGUUAACAAAGCAAAAAGCGAAACCAGCAAAAGAAAAAAUAGUGAUCUCAGGUCAGGCAAGACUACCCGCCGAACUUAAGCAUAUCAAUAAGCGGAGG
rnacentral:rRNA from 1 species